rnacentral:sRNA from 1 species
AUAGAGCUGCGGCUCGGGCGGCGCCUCCCUGCGGCGGCCCGGCCCGGCUCCGGCCCCCGCUGGGGCAAUGCUCCCCGGGGCCGCGGGAUGAGCCAGGCACCGGCCUGGAGCGCUGGGGAGGCUUCUUGGAGGAGGCGGGGCCUGGCCCUGGCCCCGGAUCGCCGAGACCGGCCACGCUGCGCCGCCUGGACCCCGGGCUCCUCCACCCACAGCUCUGCGACCUUCACGAGCUCGACCCUUUCUGCGCCUCAGUUUCCUCAUCUAUAAAAUGGAGAUAAUGCCUCCGCGCGCUGAGCCCUAGCGCGGUCGUGCGGUUACACUAUUGCUGCUGCUAUGUCGUUAAUGAACGGCACAGCCCUUAUGGAAGGGGGGCCAAGGAAGGCACGGGGACCUUCCCGCAGGACGUGGGGUGGGCACCAGCCCUAAGCCAUGCACAUAACCCACUCUGAGGUCAGGACCUGGGUUCCUUUCGUGUCCACUGGGGGCCUUAGCCGUUGUCUUCACUUCUCUAGGUCCCAGCCCUUCACAAUGGGCGCGCCUCCCUGCCUGAG